CAGUAGCCGCGGGAAUACGAAGGGGGCUAGCGUUGCUCGGAAUGACUGGGCGUAAAGGGCGCGUAGGCGGCGAUCAAAGUCAGGCGUGAAAUUCCUGGGCUCAACCUGGGGGCUGCGCUUGAUACUGGGUUGCUUGAGUGGGGAAGAGGGUCGUGGAAUUCCCAGUGUAGAGGUGAAAUUCGUAGAUAUUGGGAAGAACACCGGUGGCGAAGGCGGCGACCUGGUCCUUUACUGACGCUGAGGCGCGAAAGCGUGGGGAGCAAACAGGAUUAGAUACCCCCGUAGUCCCUGUCUCUUAUAC
rnacentral:rRNA from 1 species